UGGGUUGGCCAAAAAGUUCGUUUGGGUUUUUCUGUAACAUCUUAUGGGAAAACCCAAACAAAUUGUUGGCCAACCCA
rnacentral:miRNA from 1 species